rnacentral:tRNA from 1 species
GCCUCGGUAGCUCAGGAGUAGAGCAGAGCCCUGAAAAGGCUUGUGUCGGCAGUGCGAAUCUGUCCCGAGGCACCA